rnacentral:rRNA from 1 species
CUACGGGUCGCAGCAGUGGGGAAUAUUGCACAAUGGGCGAAAGCCUGAUGCAGCAACGCCGCGUGAGGGACGACGGCCUUCGGGUUGUAAACCUCUUUUAGCAGGGAAGAAGCGAAAGUGACGGUACCUGCAGAAAAAGCACCGGCUAACUACGUGCCAGCAGCCGCGGUAAUACGUAGGGUGCAAGCGUUGUCCGGAAUUAUUGGGCGUAAAGAGCUCGUAGGCGGUUUGUCGCGUCUGCUGUGAAAAUCCGAGGCUCAACCUCGGACCUGCAGUGGGUACGGGCAAACUAGAGUGCGGUAGGGGAGAUUGGAAUUCCUGGUGUAGCGGUGGAAUGCGCAGAUAUCAGGAGGAACACCAAUGGCGAAGGCAGAUCUCUGGGCCGUAACUGACGCUGAGGAGCGAAAGCGUGGGGAGCGAACAGGAUUAGAUACCCUUGUAGUC